rnacentral:tRNA from 1 species
GCCCUGGUAGUGUAGUGGACUAUCAUGUGGCCCUGUCGAGGCCACGACCCGGGUUCGAAAGGGCUUAUUCAAGAAAAUAAAAAAAGGAUAAGCUCUGGAUGUCCCGGCCAGGGCG